GACAGAGGGUGCAAACGUUGUUCGGAAUUACUGGGCGUAAAGCGAGUGUAGGCGGUCUUCUAAGUCGGAUGUGAAAGCCCCGGGCUCAACCCGGGAAGUGCACUCGAAACUGGAAGGCUAGAGUAUCGGAGAGGUUGGUGGAAUUCUCGGUGUAGAGGUGAAAUUCGUAGAUAUCGAGAGGAACACCGGUGGCGAAGGCGGUUCUCUGGGCAUGUCCUGACGCUGAGGAGCGAAAGUGUGGGGAGCGAACAGG
rnacentral:rRNA from 1 species